ACCAAUCCUAGGGGACCGAGGUGGGUGGGAAAGAAGAGAUAACAGAAUUUUAUCCCUUACAGGCACGAGGAAGGUUAAACCUUUAACUGAUAUGCCCGCCUCCACCCAUGCCCAGACUCAAUGAGUUGCAAUGAACAUACACACACACACACCCCUGCCAAGUAGCCAGGGCCUUCUGGCCUGUGCUGUCGGGAUCGGAAUGAGGAUUGGGGAGAGGUAGGAAACGGAACCUUGGGCACCCGCAAGAGCAUUGAGCAGGGAGUUUCUAGCAAGCUGCAGCAAAGGAACUUUCCUGACACUUGGCAAGGGCACCUGAAGGGUCUCUGCAGUGCCCCAGCUGUGCAGAACGCAAGCUUCUCCUUAAUCUGGUUGGGAGCAGUAGGAGUCAAGUUGUCCAAGGCCCCUUGAUUUUGAUGAAUGUAGGAUACAAUGAGAAGCAGCAGAAAUCGCAAUAUAGCCCCAUCAAUGUGGAUGGUACUUUGCAGCACAUAAGCAGAUCCCUGCGCUAAGGAAUUUACAGAUCUCUGCAAUUCAAGAGGAAGAGGAGGAAGGCAACAGAGGGGACGCAAAAUAGCAAGAGAAGACUAUGCACAAAUGCUGUGACACAUAGGCAUGCAGUGCACUUCCAUGCGUCAGAAGCAGCCAGCCAGAUGUCUCUGGAAGUUCACAAGAAGGAGGGCUUGAUGGCAAUGACACUGCCCUGUGUUGUUUACUCCAGUCCCUGGCACUCAUAGGAAAAUGGCUUCUGAACAUGGAGUUCUAUUGCACUCUGCUUGGAAAAGGCAGAACCCACAGGUUUGUAGUCUCUGGUUAAAAGAUCCCAAGACACACAUCAGUAAUGCACGUGUUGUAACUCACACCAAUUGUUCAGUUAACAAUUUAUUCACAAGUUUCACACAAAGAAGUUUCAGUUGGGGGUGGGGUGGAAUUGGGUGGCACUGUUUUCUAGCGGUUCCGUUCCUAUCUCUCUGGUAGGGGUGUGCAUGGAACCGUCUGCGGUGGUUCGGUUUGAGUUCAGUUCGAAGCUGGUCCGUGAACUGGUUCAUUAAGGAGCAUUGGUGGGGGCCUAAAGGGGCUGCCGCCACUGAAGAGCCACCGGUAUGUUGCCGGCAGUAAGUCCACCCCACCGCCUGCCCCUUGAACCCCUUGAGAGUUAGGGAUUCCCUUUCCUUGUAAAGGGGAGUCCUUACUGGAUCUCCCUUUACAAGCGUAGCCAAAGUGAUUGAACUGAGCCAAACCAGUUCAAUCUGAACUGGGCCCCGUUUGGUUCAAACUCAGACUGGCUCCCUUUUUGUGGGGGCUGGUCCAGUUCAAGCUUGAACCGGUCGAACUGGGCCAGUUCAAAUACAAUCAGAUCCAAUUUGAACCUGUUCUACACACUCCUACUCUGGUAGCUUCCAGAUGGUGUCGCUUGGAGACUGUUGCUCUGCAAAGCGAGAACUAAAGUAUGGAGUUCCACAAGACUCCAUACUUUCUCCAGUGCUCUUUAACAUCUACAUGCAACUGCUGGGAGAGAUCAUCAGGAGAUUUAGAGCAGGGUAUUAUCAAUAUGCUGAUGACACCCAAAUUUAUUUCUCCAUAUUGACCUCAUCAGGAAAUGGCAUAACAUCCCUAAUGCCUGCCUGGAGGCAGCACUGGGUUGGAUGAGGGAUAACAAACUGCAAUUGAAUCAAAAUAAGACAGGUACUUUUUGGGGUGGGGGGGUCAGGACCCAAGAGAUGGUUUAGAUCUGCCUAUUAUGGAUGGGGUUACAAUAUCCCUGAAAGAUCAGGUAUGUAGCUUGGGAGUGACCCUGGAUCCCAAACUCACUCUGGUUUCUUAGGUUGAGGCAGUGGCCAGGAGCACUUUAUAUCAGCUUUGGCUGAUACGUUGGCUACGUCCAUUUCUGGAGGUAAAUGACCUUAAAUUAGUGAUGCAUAUGCUGGUAACCGCCAGGCUCGACUACUGUAAUGCACGCUCCGUGGGCCUGCCUUUGUAUGUAGUCCAGAAACUACAGUUGGUACAGAAUGCAGCAGCCAGAUUGGUCUCUGGGACAACCUGAAGGGACCAAAUAACACCAAUUUUAAAAUAAUUGCACUGGCUGCCUAUGAUUCUGAGGGAAAUUCAAAGAGCUGGUUAUUACCUAAUAAUAAUAAUGGCUUGGGUCCAGGGUAAUUAAGAGCGUGCCUUGCCACCUAUUAAGAUUAUCUGGGGAAGUCCAGUUAUGAUUGCCACUGGCUUGUUUGGUAGUGACUUGGGACCAGGCCUGUGGCUCCCCAGGGCUUUGGAAUAUGCUGCCUGUCCGAAUAAGAGCAUCUCCAUCUCUGACUGCUUUUAGGAAAACCCUCAAGACACACCUGUAUUCUCAGGCUUUUAACUGAAAUUAGUUUUAAACUGUUUGAUUGUUUUUAUCCUGUGAAAUUGUUCUAACUUGUUUAUUCUGUGAAAUUGUUUUAAUUGUUUUUAGUCUAUUUUAUAUUUGUUGUUUUAAAUAGUGUACACCACCUAGAGAUACACAUAUCAGGCGGUAUAUAAAUAUGAUGAAUAAAUAAACUCCCUUCAUCA